rnacentral:rRNA from 1 species
UUUAAUAGGGCGACUAGUCGCUAGGAGUAGACCCGAAACCGGCGCGAUCUAUCCAUGGCCAGGUUGAAGAUUAGGUAGUACUAAUUGGAGGACCGAACCCAAUACUGUUGCAAAAGUAUGGGAUGAGCUGUGGAUCGGAGUGAAAGGCUAAUCAAGCACGGAGAUAGCUGGUUCUCCCCGAAAACUAUUUAGGUAGUGCCUCGUGUAUAACUCAUUGGGGUAAAGCACUGUUUCGACAAUGGGGGUUUUACGACCUUACUGACUCGAUGCAAACUCAGAAUACGAUGAAGUUCGAUCACGGGAGACACACUGCGGGUGCUAAGGUCCGCAGUGGAAAGGGAAACAGCCCAGACCGCCAACUAAGGUCCCAAAGUCAUAGCUAAGUGGGAAACGAAGUGGGAAGGCCCAGACAGCCAGGAGGUUGGCUUAGAAGCAGCCACCCUUUAAAGAAAGCGUAAUAGCUCACUGGUCGAGUCGGCCUGCACGUAAGAUUUAACGGGGCUAAGCUAUGCACUGAAGUUGCGGAAUAUAUUUAGUAUAUUGGUAGGGGAGCGUUCUGUAAGCCGAUGAAGGUGAAUUGAGAAGUUUGCUGGAGGUAUCAGAAGUGCGAAUGCUGACAUGAGUAACGUAAAAUAAGUGAGAUUCUUAUUGGCCGAAAACCCAAGGGUUCCUACGCAAUGUUAAUCAACGUAGGGUAAGCCGGCCCCUAAGGCGUAGCUGAAGAGUGAAGUCGAUGGGAAACAGGUUAAUAUUCCUGUGCUGCUUAUAUGAACGAAGGAGGGACGGAGAAGGUUAGGUAGGCCUGGCGAAUGGUUGUCCAGGUGAAAGUAUGUAGGUAGGAAUGCUAGGCAAAUCCGGUGUUCUGUUGAUCUGAGAUACGAGACGAAGUUAAACUUGUUUGACGAAGCUAUUGAUACCAUGCUUCCAGGAAAAGCUUCUAAGUAUAUUGUAUAAGUGACCGUACUGUAAACCGACACUGGUGGGUAGGUAGAGAAUACUAAGGCUAUGAGAUAACUCUGGUGAAGGAACUAGGCAAAAUGACACCGUAACUUUGGAAGAAGGUGUGCCCUUGAUGGUGAUGAGACUUGCUCUUUGAGCUGUUGGGGGUUGCAGAUACCAGGUGGCUGCGACUGUUUAUCAAAAACACAGCACUCUGCGAAAUCGUAAGAUGAAGUAUAGGGUGUGACGCCUGCCCGGUGCUGGAAGGUUAAUUGAAGGGGUUAGCGCAAGCGAAGCUCUGGAUCGAAGCCCCAGUAAACGGCGGCCGUAACUAUAACGGUCCUAAGGUAGCGAAAUUCCUUGUCGGGUAAGUUCCGACCUGCACGAAUGGCGUAACGAUGGCCACACUGUCUCCACCAGAGACUCAGUGAAAUUGAAAUCGCUGUGAAGAUGCAGUGUACCCGCGGUUAGACGGAAAGACCCCGUGAACCUUUACUAUAGCUUUGCACUGGACUUUGAAUAUUUAUGUGUAGGAUAGGUGGGAGACCAUGAAGCAGCUACGCCAGUAGUUGUGGAGUCGUCCUUGAAAUACCACCCUUGAAUAUUUGAAGUUCUAACUCAGGAGAGAUUCGAGGACAGUGUAUGGUGGGUAGUUUGACUGGGGCGGUCUCCUCCUAAAGAGUAACGGAGGAGUACGAAGGUGCACUCGGUACGGUCGGAAAUCGUGCCAAGAGUAUAAAGGCAAAAGUGCGCUUGACUGCGAGAGUGACGGCUCGAGCAGG